GUUUCUCUUAUUCACCAGGGACAGGUAAACUUUGUGUUUUUUCCCUCACGCCCUCCUUUCUUAACAUGCAUAUUAACUUGGGAGUUGGGACAUCACAGGACAUCAAUUUAAUAAUUCUCGGUCACAGUAAUUCUCUUAUAGCAUUAAGUUUGUGGAAAAAUAAAUUAUAUCUACAGGCUCAAAUCAAUUAAGAAUUGUCGGUUCAAAUGUACAGCAUAAGUAAUCUUUAACUUUGCAUGUUCAUCUGUUUUUGUGUGUGGGUGUGUAAUCUCUCCAUUAAUUUCUUUGAGCCUUUUGAGGCUUGGUGUAUGACUUGUUAUUUUUGUGGUGGCAGUUCUCCACCAGUCUCCCUAAA
rnacentral:misc_RNA from 1 species